GUCCGUGCGUGGCGUCGGAUGUGCUUGCCAGCGAAUAUUUGUGCCGCCACCGGAUUCUUGCGUUUAGUAGGGAUUUCGACGCGUUACUGCACGGACGUAUGUCGCGGCAGUUGGACGACGACGACGAAGAGAACGCUGAGAAGUGAAAGAGACAGAAUAUAUUAGAAGUUGUGCUAUUUUUUGUUUUAUGAAAUUCACUCGGCCUCGUCUUUGACUUCGUCACAGCAGUCAUUUGAGCGCCAGUGGUAAUAACAGUUCGGUUGAAUGUUGACGGUGGCGGCGAGGCUAAGGUUUUGUGCUGUUGACAUUUGGUAUCGAGGCAGUAAACUGUGAAAGGGUACAAAGUCACAACGCGACGAAGUCGUUAAAGUAGAGUACAAAUUAAUCUAGCAAGUAUGUACAUAUGUGUACGCAUGUGUGCGUGCGCUCGCGUUAUGUGGUGAAAGUAAAAGGUGAAUAUUGCUGAAUAUUUUGUUUUUCGAAAAAUAAGAUUAUUUGAAAGUCAACGAGUGAAGAGCAAAAAACGUUUUUCCAAAACAAAAAAAAAAAAAACAAAAAAAAGUUAAAAUAAAUAAGUGUGAAAAAUGUGAGAGCAAAAUUAAGAUGGAAUAAAAAUUUGCUAAGCAUUAAAAAAGCAAGUUGAGUGGCGAGCAGUAUUUCGUUUUCGACGCAACUAUUGAAUUUGUAUUUUGUGUAUGUUUGGCAAAUAAAUCAACUUGAAGUGUGUGAUAAGUGUUAGCAGGCAGACAACAACAAAAACAAAAGUACAACGCCUAAGUCGACAGCGUCCUUUGCGAAACGUGUGUGGAGCAGCAGCAGCGGCGCUAAGCAGUGUAUCCAAACACAAGGCACUUAAGCAGCGAGACGAAUGUAUGGAAAAUUGCAAUAAAUCAAUGGAAGUAGCAAGAGCAAAAGCGAAAACUGAACAAUGAUGUGAAAAUAGUUUUAGAAAGUAAAAAUACAACAUUUGUUUUUGAAAUACCGUUACAUAAAAUAAAUAGAAAACGACGAGAGAAAUAUAAAUUAUUUGAUUAACUCGCUCCGUUCGCUUCGCCUUCUUCCUUAACUCCCACUUCUUCUUACCACCCAGCACUUUGUUGGCGUACGUGUGCUUGUCGCGUAAAUGUGUCGCUCAGCUGUCUGCUCCACAACAACAACAACAAAUACAAGCGAAAGCAUCUGCCAGUGCGACAUUGACGUCAGCUCCGCGAAAGUCGUGCAGUUUUAAAAAAACAUUUCACUGGAUUAAAUGAUAUCGAUCAUGCAACGCUCUAAAUGACGACGACACCUUUAAACGACGGAUAGCGCGGGAUGUAUCAGUUUUAUUUGUGAUAUUUGCUUUCCUUAAGUUAAAGACAUUCUUCAACAAAAUCUUCAAGUGGUCGAAAAAGUCGUAGAUUUUUUGGGUGGAGGGGGCCACGCAGUGGUUCCCUUGGCCCGCGGGCCGGAAUGGCUUCCUACAAUGGGGUGCUAAAGGAUUACGGACACAGCAGUUUGAAUGAGGCUUUCAAAUCCCAAAACAAUAUCAACUUUAAGUUAAUCAAAACAGUAUCUGAUUUCACCGAAACCCUCUCCCAUUUAUACGAGGAACAUGCUACUGCCCUACAAUCUUUAGUCUCCAAUUUUCGUAAAAAGAAUGCAGAACUUCGCAAAGAAAGACCCGCUUGCCAUCUGGCAAUUUUCCAAGCAUGGGAAACAUUCCUACAGGAGGUCGAAACCGAUUCUCAGGCAUCAAACGAUGUGGCCAGCGUGCUUUCACGUCAGGUGUCACGUCCAAUGCUCGAUAAAUCCUUUCAUCGUAAAGUUCAAAGUCGGAAAAUUUUCACACACAGGGAGUCUUUUGAGACUAUUAUCGCAAAGACUGAAGAGAAGCUUUCGAAGUGUCGUUUGGAUUACAAACAGUGUUACAUGUCGCAUCGUCAAAAUCCCACACCACUUUCACUCACCGAAUACAUAGACGCACACAAUGCGUACGUGCAACAGUUGCAUGCCACCAAUGCCAUGCUGGAGAUCUACCAUUGUGAGACGGUGCCGCAGUUAAUGCAAGAACUGGAGGAGAUACACAAUGAUUUAUGCAGUAUUAUCGCCGAAUCGAUACAACAGGGUGCAGAUGUCAUUGCCAACAAGGCAUCGGAUCAAGCGAAACGCUACGGCUCUCUGACCGCGCAGUGCGGCGCCGUGUCACCGAUGCAGGAUCUCACGAGCUUCGUACGCAUUCUGCCGCCGCUACCCACGCAGGUGCAAAAAGUUCCUAAGCGCAUGUUUGCGCCUCCCCAGCUGCCGGCCGAAGUCGAGGAUAAUGGUGAUUUUAAUGAAAUAGCUCCAGUGUUGCGCAACGAGUUGGUCUUCGAUCGCCAUUCGACGCUGUCGUUGCGUCCAGCCCUGGAAUCGUUGAAGCGGGAGGCGCAUGAGCUGGAAAUGCAAAUACGUCUUUUACAGGAUACCGUGGAUGGUUUGAAUCGCACGCAGCAGCGUGGCAUCGAGGGACAAUUGUACAACAAGGUCAAUGAGCUACAGGAGGAGCUCUCUUUGAAGAAAUUUGAUUUGCGCGCUAAGCAGUUGCACUUCGCUGCCAUCAAAGCACAGAAAGAUUUGUACGUGAGCAAAGUUGAUCCGGGUUCGCCACGCGCCGAGCGUAAACUUUCAGCCGCGACCGCGCCAUCGAUGAAAACAAAGUGGCUGAAAGCAUUUAGAAGCCUAAAGCCGGCUUCCGGUUCAGCACCCGCCGAUAGGCGCAAUGGAGCCGCCGGCACAUCCUCACAACCGCUACGUCCCAACGAGGAUGGCAGCCACCACCUGCAGGAGUACACAUACAAGAAGAUAACCGCCUGCGAUGUCUGCUCCCAAAUAUUAAGAGGUCACACACGUCAGGGAUUACGCUGCCGCAUCUGCAAACUGAACGCUCAUGGCGACUGCGCAUCUCAACUGCCCCGCUGCCAGCCGAAGCAGAAGCUACUGCGGCGACAGAAGAGCACAUCGGAGCUGGAGAACCGCGUCGAUGUCGAGGAAGAAAUUGCAGACACCAACUCAAGUCCAACACGAAUACCCGGCGAACCACUUAUGCUGAAUAGGAAAAUCCUCAAAAACAGCCAAAGUGGCAGCAGCGAGCAAGCGCCCACGGAAGUCGCCACGCUAAGUGAGCUUGCUUGCGCCAGCAGAGCCACGCCUUCGCUCAGCAGCAGAGCAGCCACGCCGGCGCCAAGUGAAAGCGGCCGAAGCGUCGGAACAGCUAAAACAGGAAAGAAACGCGUGCAACUAAAAUGAGUGCUGAAAAGAGGACGCGGAAACAUUAAGUAUUACUAAUAGAAGAGAGGUAAGAGCGGAGACAGACUCAAGGCUCUCAUCACUGCAUCAUUGGUGACACCGUUCAACCGACUGCAGGAUUUCGAUGAAUUGGAUUUGAUGUGAAGUGGAGCGGUCCAUGCUCCCAGUCGCAUCGUUUGAUAUUGUUUAGAACCUAUUUUUAUUGCUAUUUUUAUUCGUAUUAUUAUCUGAACUUCUAACGUCUAAAAGCACAAGUGCAUCCGCCCUUCUGCCCUACCCUAAUUAAUGUUCAAUGAACCUCCUUAGCCGAAAUGAAAUAUUUAAUGAUAUAAUAAUAUAUUCUUAAUGCAUAGCCUCUGUGACAGCAAUAAUAACUGUAAAUUAUAUAGGAUUAAUUUAGGACUACAGCGAGAAAUACUGUGUAACCAAUUCGGCUAGAAGUGAAAAGGUGUAAAGUAAUUAUCAUUAGCUACACCCGAGAGUAUUCGACAGCCUGGAAUCAUGCUAUUUUUUCGCAAAUUGCAUUAAGUUAAUUAAGGACAAUUUUUGUAAUUAAUUUUUAAUUUCUUCCAUUUCGCACUCUAUUCUUUCCGUUGUUGUAUCGAAAGUUAAAUACUAAUAAUUUAUUGUUGUACUUAUCCAUGUAGUCCUGUUAGAUCUGAUUUAUAUCACUUAAUAAGCAUUAAAUGUGCUCGGUGGUUAUUUCCGUAAGCCCCGUUAAUUAUUCCGAUUAAAUGCUUCAUUUUCAGUGAUUUUAUAUAAUUUAUUCAGUACUACGGCCCUUUUGGCCGCCAUUUUUUCCCACUCAUUGUACUCAAUUUUAAUUGUGUUGUUGCAUAUUUCCAGUGAAUUAUUCAGUGUGUUAAACUUUAGAAAUAAAUUGCACAAAUUAUAUAUAUUGUUAUUAAGUGUUGUUGUUGUAUUGUGUUAGCAGCGUGUGUGGGUUUUUAAAAAUUAAAUAAAAAUAUUGUAUAUUAAACACAUCUAAAGGUAAACAUUUAUUGUGGUUUUAUUCUAUUUCUAUUUUAUUUGCGCAUAAGUAUUUCGCCAACACAUGGCAACUCGCCUCUCACUAGGCCAAACGCGCUGCGACUUUAAGCCCAUAAAAACUUAAAAAAAUACUUUUUUUUGAUUUUACAUUUACAUUAUUAUUUGUAUGCUUUGUAUGUUGAGUGCACACGACAAUUAAAUUAUUCAUACGAAGUAACCGAUUGCAACUCUGUCACAAGAAAAUAAUGCCGAUUGAGAUGAUUUAUUCAUGGUGCUUUAAUAAAUUAGUUUCAUGGUUAAUUGAGUUCGUAAUUUCAAAUAAAGGAGCUACUGUGGGCCACUCAUUCAUUCAAAGUUGGUUGACACCGAACGCCGAAGAGCCUCGCAUAUAAACACAAAACAAACAAUUAACCCUGAUUUGGCUUUUAAAGGCCAAAAGAGUUGUUGGUGUAGUUAACGACAUUUAAAAAAAUAAUGAAAGAAAUAAAUAAAUAUAAAGGUGAAAUAUGUGAAAUAAACAUUUUCGUACAUUCUUUAUAUAAACUUAAAACCCACCAGAGUUCCUCCUUUCGGCCACCUAACGUCUCGUUCUCUUGUAAUUAUGUAGAGAAAGUGCGCGGAAAAUGGUGUCUGAGAGGCUCAUUAAUUAUAUGUGUUAUUGCUUUUGUAGAGUCCACCAUAAAACCUGCACGAAAUAUCAAUAUGAAGCACAAUUGAGAUAGGCGGUCCCUACAAACAGCCGCAACACCAUGCACUCAGCACAUGAAAACUUAGAGACGCAUCGGAUGUGUAUAUUUAAGCUUUUGUUUGUGUUCUUGCACGUUUUGUUCCUUUAAAUACUUUAAAACACUAGAAACUAUAAUGGAAAAUACACGACACCCUUUACUUAGAGUGAAAUUUCCUUUGAAAAUCAAAUCAGAAACCGAAAUUUUUCAAUUCACUCUGUGAGCUUGCAAAGCCACCCCACAUCCUUCACAGAUCUGGUCUUUCGGUCGCUAACCUAAGUGCACACACAACUCACCCACACCGACACAGAAUUGGAAAUGAAGAGAAGAAAAAACUUUCCAACUGCUUUGCUCACUAAAUGUUUCCUACUUUAUUAUCUAAAUAUAUUUAGCAAUAUUUACUCCCUAGUUGUUCGGAUAUUAGUUGUAAGUUGUAUGCAUAGUUGAAAUAAUGAAAAAUUAAUGCAUUUUUUCGAAACAAAUUUUUCUUCAACAUUUUUUGUGUUGCUACCAAAAUUUCAAAUUUAUUCAUCAUCAAAUAUUCAUCAAACGACAUGUUGUACAAUAAAAAUAACAACAACAACAAUAAAAACACAACGUCGCAUACGAAUGGCUAUCGUCGUAUCAUGCUUACAACAACAUAAAACCGAACUACUAAAUUUCUCAUCAAUUUGACACGAUUUGAAACGACCACUUUCAACCGACAACAACAACCAACAUCCGUUAAACUCAUCGAAUAAAUACCUUGCAUAUCGCCAACAACAACAGCACCGCACUCGCCGCGUCGGCAAAAGCUGAAUUUGCGCAUGAAAUCACUGAGCUUGGAUUCGCCGGAAUCGACGGAACUGCACGGUCAAAUUCGUCGGCGCCAGCAGCCGGUCAUCGGUCCAACAACAGUUGUCGGUGGCGGCAGUGUAUAUUAUCAUGGUGGAUCCGGUGGACACUUGGAGCACAAUACACCGCCGUCGAACAAUAGCCGUUUGCAUUCAUUCAAACGUGCAUUUACAGCGCCUUCCAGCCCCUCACACCAGGGCCGCAAGUUGCUGUAUGCCACGCGCGGCAUGCGCGGCGGCAGCGUCGACCUGCCCGACGAGAUGGAGAAGUCACAGUCGUCGGCGAGCACCUCGCCGUGCCCCUCACCAAAAUCUCACCGCUUAUUGCCAACGAAUUUGUAUGUGAUUUUGUACAAUUUCAAAGCGCGCCACGCUGAUGAGCUAGACCUGAAGGCUGGUUACAAGGUCACCGUCAUCGACACCUCGGACCCAGACUGGUGGCAGGGCAAAUUGCUAGGUCGUGUCGGUUACUUCCCAUCCAAAUAUUGUGUACGUCUAAAUGCCAACGAGAAGCCGUUACAGGUCACACAUAACUUACAAGUGUCUGAUGGUGAGCGAGGGGAGAGUAUGACGCUUUUACGGGAUCAAAUAGUUAUACAGACUGGAGACGAAGUCAACGGUAUGGUGAUGGUGCGCUCUGCAGAGAAUCGUCAGGGCUAUUGCCCCGUUAAGUACCUGCAAGAGGUGUGACAGCCAAAAGAGCCGCCAGUUGAGCGUGACAAGCCGCAGAAAUCUUCGCUGUCAUCAAAGCUUUUAGAUAAAACGAAACGUAGAAUAAGAAUUGUAGUCUCUGAGAAUGGUGGUAGUGGCGCGAGUUACACCAAUCUGGGUCGCGAGCCCAGUGCACCUCCUGCCGAACACGGGAUGAAAAAUAUAAAUAUCGAUUACAAUGACGACUACACUGGGGGCGUAGAAGAAGAGUACUAUGGGAGUUUUGAUGCGGCCACUGCCAGUAGUAGAAGUAAAAAUGAUAAAAAUUGGGAGAACUGGGAACGCAUAAGAGAACAGAAAUUGGAAAGAAUGAAAAACAUUUGCUUUGAAAGUUACCGUCAAUCGAAACGAGAUCGAAUGCAACAAGCUAAACCGAAACCGAAACAACUUGAUCCUACUUGGUAUACAGACAAUAUAUAUUCUAAUCGCUCCGAAGAUCUCGAAGAGGACUAUGUGCCGGAGUGCCUAAAAUAUGGAACAUAUCGUAAGCUUCGCAACAUCCGCGAACAGGAUGAGUUCUUUGUGGAGGAUGUUUUGGAUGACGCUCCGCCAGAUGUUGGUAAUAAAGGCAAGCGUGGUGAAGGGGAAGGUUCGUCCGGUUAUGGAUUGCAUCGCUCAAUAAGUUGUAAGGAGUUUCAGUAUCCAAAGUCACAGAGUUGUUAUGUGAUGAGUGGUGGCACGUCCUAUGAAGGUGGCGGUACCACAUCCAUAUUGAAGAAAACCAAUGUGCCCAAAUCAUAUUCGUUCAGUGCCACGACGUCUAAGACGACACCCUUCGAUGUGAUGGACUACGAACUGCCGCAAUCGGGCGCAACGCGCCGCCAUAAACAAGAGGCCUUCCGCAAGUCCGCGGGCUACUACUGCAGCAGCAGCCUUGACGAGAGCACGCUAGCUUAUGCGACUCACGAACCGCCGACGUCAACUCCGCCGCCUCCGCCGGCGCCGCAUUCAUGUUGCGCUCGGGAACAAUGCACCAGCGUCAAUUGUCUACUUGACGAAAUCUAUCCGAGCUAUUCGGCGGCGGCCGGACGUCGUACAUGGCGCAGCCGUGGCACGCCCGUGGGCAUGUAUAGCGCUGGCGCCAGCGGUGGUAGCAACAGGAACCUACAUACCGCCUCCGCCUCCACCACAGCCGAUUGGGUCGAAGAACGGGAACGCGGUAGCCAGCGUGUGGCAGCGGCUUCGCGCUACUCUUUACACUCGGGACGUGGGCGCGAUCAUGAACGUGAACGCCACAGCGAUCGUGAGUGUGAGCAGCCACCGCCGCCGCCACCAACGGUAGUAUGCUGUUGUGCCGCCGAUGACU